GACGUAGGGCGCGAGCGUUGUCCGGAUUUAUUGGGCGUAAAGAGCUCGUAGGCGGCUUGUCGCGUCGUCUGUGAAAUCCCGCGGCUCAACCGCGGGUCUGCAGUCGAUACGGGCAGGCUAGAGUUCGGUAGGGGAGACUGGAAUUCCUGGUGUAGCGGUGAAAUGCGCAGAUAUCAGGAGGAACACCGGUGGCGAAGGCGGGUCUCUGGGCCGAUACUGACGCUGAGGCACGAAGGUCAGGGGAGCAAACGGG
rnacentral:rRNA from 1 species